AAAUAAAUUAUUUUAAUAACACUGUUCCAGACACAAUAGAUAUCUUCCAAAUUUUACUCGUCCUAAAAAGUCUUAAAAAAAUGUUUGAUGAGAUGGAAACAAAAAAUAAUCAAAUAUUACCAAAUUAGAAUUGUUCAAUGCUUUGGAUAGUAUUAUCAAGAUGAUUUUUGAGAGUAACUUGACAAUUAAAAUAAAGUAUAUAUACAAGUAUUUGGUAACAGCUAAACGCCACCUUAUUUAUGACAGAAUUCUCAAUUAAAAUAUAAUGAAAUACUGUUUUUAAAAUUAAUAUAUUCAUUAAUCUAUGAUAAUACAAGCAUGGUUAUAGGUCUUCUGGGUUGAUAUUCUAUCGUUUAGUCACCAUAUUAAUAUGAACAAAAAUAUACUGGUUUUUAAAUAGCUACAUACUUGUAACUAUUUGAUAUGUUAAUGAAGCAUUUCUUUAAAAUGGUAAAAUAAACAUUAAGUUUAUUAAUUUACUUAAAAUAUAAUUUAUAAAUAAUAAAUAUUGUAAAAAAGUUGAUCAGUCAAAUAUAUGAAAAUAUCGGCAAUGUUGACAAACAUUAAUAAAUAUUAAAAUAAUUGGAAAUUUAAUUUACUCUUGAUACAGAAUCAUCUACACUUUGAAGAGUUUGUAGACGUUUAGUCAUUAAUAAAUUUGUAAAUUGUCUAUGUAUUGGUAACAUUUGGCCAGUAACUUGUAAUAUCCAUUGUUUAUCAGCAUUAGGUGCAAAGUCAUAUGAAGGAGUACUAAAAUUAAAAUUCUAUUUAGUUUGUCAAUUUUAAAGAUUUUAAAUUCGUCAAUACUGGUGACAUACUGGUGAGAUGUUACAUUGAAAAACAUAUUAGAAUAUUGAGGUGCUGAAUCUUCUGGUCCAUGUGGUGAAGGGAAACUCAUUACUAACAUGAAUGGACGUUGAGGAUGAUGCAGUUUAACAUGUCUAAGAAAGUUAAUAGAAUCAUUGGUAAUUAAAUCUGGAUAGUAAUCCUAAAAAAAAAAAAAUGUUAAAUAAAUAAUUGUAGUAAUCAUUCCAUAAUUUUAUAAGAUUCAAGACAUACUUUGUUAUAGUUAUCUCCAUGUCUAAUUUUUUUUCCAUUUAAAUUUAUGGAAUAAUUAUAAUACUUUGAGUUCAUAAUGAGACCACCCCAUUGGCGCCAACCUGGAGGUACAUAACUGCCAUUAUACUUAUUCAAGUAUUUUCCAAAAUAGCCUGUUUAAUAAUUGUAUAUAUAUAUAUUUAUAAAUGUUAUUUAUUACACUAGGAUUUUAGUUUAAAGGAAUUUUUAGCUUUGAUGUAAAUCUUAGAAGAUAUUGGUUUUUUCACCAUAUGCAUUUAUUAUUUUUUUUGUCCGUGUGCUCAGAUUACUGAACUAAACUAAUAUAUAGUAUAUCAAAAGAACACAAA